rnacentral:rRNA from 1 species
UACGUAGGGCGCAAGCGUUGUCCGGAAUUAUUGGGCGUAAAGAGCUCGUAGGCGGCUUGUCACGUCGGAUGUGAAAGCCCGGGGCUUAACCCCGGGUCUGCAUUCGAUACGGGCAGGCUAGAGUUCGGUAGGGGAGACUGGAAUUCCUGGUGUAGCGGUGAAAUGCGCAGAUAUCAGGAGGAACACCGGUGGCGAAGGCGGGUCUCUGGGCCGAUACUGACGCUGAGGAGCGAAAGCGUGGGGAGCGAACAGG